rnacentral:lncRNA from 1 species
UGUUGAAUGGUUUGAAGCCUCCCCUGCAUUUUGUUCCCGAGACUGAGGAACAGAGUCGUCUGAGAUGGUGGAGAUCUCAGACAACCCGACUGAAGAGCACAGCCCUUGUGCUUCCUCCCGGGCUCCACCCCCAGGACCCCAAGCAAGGUUCUCCUUUCCAAAUCUUUUCUAAAAUGUUAGAAUUCAGACCACAGUUCCUGAGCUUUGGAUGCAAACUCCUUGGCCCUGAAUCCCUGGAAGCCCUCCCCUGUGGAUGGUAUCAGCCAUCACAGCAGGAUGUGCUUUAAGAAUCCAAAUGAAUUCAGUUAUACCACGUGGUGGGACUUUUAAACUUGAGCUGAGCUUACUCAUUUCUGGUCGGCUAUUAAUCCUAUAGCUAAACCUGCAGGGAUGCUGAUGGCUGCUGGCCUGGGGCUUCCUCACAUAGAACUGCCAUGCUUCCUGCAGGGACGCUGGUGGGCGCUGGCCUGGGGCUUCUAAAAUCUUAACACCUGUGGGAGAGUAAGAACUAAGGGAAUGAGUUUG